rnacentral:lncRNA from 1 species
CACCAUAGAAACUUCCUUUUUUUCUUUUUGCCUAAUUGGAAAAAGGCACUAAGUUGCCUAUGUAGUCUUAAACUGGAGAACAGUAGUAAGUCUCUUGUUUCAUUAGAUACAUUAACGAGAACACCACAUGAAAAAUUAAAAUCUUUUUGUACAAAAAGCAUGUGAUUUUAGUACUAAUAUGUGCAUAGGAAAUACCAUGGGAAGAUACACAUCAGUGGCGGUGGUCUGAAGCGAAGCACUUAAACAAAAAGUCGUAAAAGGCACAUGAGGACUCUUGCCUCACAGCCACUGGUGACAUAACCACUUGAAAAGGAGCCUGAGGGUUAGUCUGCUCCCCUGUUUAUUUUUCAGACAUCGUACCCCCACGUCUGAGUUAUUCAGCCUCGAUGCUCCAUGGGCUUUAGCAAGACAAGUCAACAGGCUUUGGCACAGAAUUGGCAGCAUGACAAUCUAAUGUAUGGUUUGGUAUUCCAAGUCCAAGAUCUUUUUCAAUAUCUCCCCACCAUGAGAUGCAGAUACAUUCCUCAUCCUUCUGGCUCACCCCGUAGGUAACUGUUGGAUCAGCACACAUGCGUGUGCACACAGAGCAUAUGCGUGCUUCAAGGACAAUCACCCAUACUGAAGAACACCACAAUUUUCUAACUGAAAACUUGACAGACUCCUCUGUCCACGCCACUGAUGGCACUCUCUGUCUCAGAUGAGUUCGUCCUACUGUGUCCUUUCUUUCUUGGGGAGGACAGCAACAGGGCUGGCACUUCCCUGUUUGCUUUGUUCCUAGAAAUUGAGCAGAGACACUUUCUGUAUUACUAUGUGUAUAGAUGUAAGUGAUUUAUCAGUAGUAACUCAUUUCUUCUCAAGUUCAUUAUCAUCCUCACUUUAUAUAGGUGCAAACAGAGGCACCUUCAGGCUAAGUAAUGUCCUCAUAGCCACAGAACCAGGAAGUGGCUAAUCCCAAAGUCCGGUCAAUACGGAGGCAGAGUCUGUGCUCUCAGCUUCGAGGCCACAUCAUGUCUCUGAGUGAGGAUGUGCAGCUAUGUAAGUAACCCCCAGAAGCCUAGGGAAUGAGAUAGUAGCCUUGCUUUCUACAUAUAAUUAUUGGUGUAUCUAGUUUUCUUCAAACAUCUUUAUCUAGAAUAAGUGAUACUCAAUUAUACGGAUAUUUCUAAUUCAAAGAGAAACCAGCCACCUCAUGAUUACCGACUGAUCCUUCCUUAUAACUAAACAAUGCACAUACACUACACUAGGACUCAAUGAUUUUCAGAAGAUGAAAAUAAAAUCGUAAUAGUAGUCCGUAGGGAGGUAGGCUUUGCCAUUUUUCUGUUGUAUCAUGGGUACUUAGCUUCUGUUAAAUGGCAAAAAAAUACAUAUAUAUAAAGUAUAUCCAGAAUUUUUCAGUUAUACAUAUUUAUUAAUGUAAUGGCUGAAUUUAUAAAUAAGCUGGAAAGUACAUGAAUUGAUAAUGUAUACUUUUAAAUUGUAACACCAUAACAUUCUAUACUAAGCUUGAUUUUCGAGGUACAUAUUUUUGACACAGUAAUACAUAUUUUUCCCUUUGAGUAAGCCUAGAUCUCAAGAAUCCAAAUGCAAUAGAUGUAAUGUAAAAUCAUUCUAAACAUUAUUUUAGUUCCAGUACCUCAUGUAAUUAUCUAAGAUUUUCCUUCACGUUUCUUUGCCGCUACAGCACUAUCUUUGAUUAUUUUAAAUCCAAUAGCACAGAUGGUAUGUUGGAAGGAGUUAAAAAGCAUUCCUUCAAAAAGUCCAGUGUGAGCCUCUCGUGGCUUUUGCUGAUGUAAUAUACUUCUAAAGUCAGGUAGGAGGCAUAGGGGAUUUCCAAAGUUGAUCCUGCAACUAUAGCUAAUAUAUUAGGAUAGCUCUUCUUAUGAACCUUAUGAAAAUGUAUCCUCAGAUUCCCUUAAAGGUCAGUGACCAGAUUUUCCCACUGUUUCUAUGGCAACACAGCAAGAUAUGGUGCCUUGGAAAUGUGCUGCAUUUUAAUUAGGUCCCUCUAGGGCUCCCUAACUGCCUUUUGCAGGUAAACUAAAUACCAAGGUGCUUUAUGUCUUGCUGUGAGAUGAAAGCUAGCCCAUCUGUAAAUGUCAAAGCUAAGAUGGGCUCCACUAAGUCAAAUCUAAACAAAUAUAGUAGCGAGUCUAUGUGUUGAUCUUGUAAAAGAUAACAAUACCUUAAUUUAAAAGAAUUAGGGGUGCUUGCUUAAUUAGGAUGGCAGGAAUACUAGUGGGAUCCUGGAUUCUAAAGCUAGAUGAUCUAGACUUGAGUCUCAGUUAUAGCAUUACUACCCAUAUUAGUCUGAGCAAGUUACUUAACUUUUGGUGCUUCCAUUUCUUGUCUAUAAAAAUGCAGAUGAUAAUAAUAGUAUAUCAUAGCAUUGUUACAUGGAUUAAAUGAGUUUAUCUAAGUAGAAUACCUAGGACCAAGACUGGCCUGUGGUAAGUGAUCAGUGAAUCAGUAGUGCUAGGAUUAGGAGUAGCGUAAGUAGUGACGGUAGUGAGGGUGGUGGUACUAGACGAGAACACUGUAUUUUUAAAGAUAAAUAAGAACUAAUUAUUUUAAAUGUUUAGCUAUCUUCAUUUAUAUCAUCACCUAGUAUAAAACAGUUAUAAUAGUAAAUGUAAUCUUGAAAAAGAAGAAAAGGUUUGGAGACAUCAUAUGCCCUGAUUGUAAACUAUAUUACAAAAUUAUAGUAGUCAAAAUAGUAUGGUACUGGCAUAAAAACAGACACAUAGAUUGAUGGAACAGAAUAGGGAACCCAGACAUAAACUCAUGCAUAUCUGAUCAAUUAAUUUACAGCAAAGAAGCCAAGAGCAUACAAUGGAGGAAAGGACAGUCACUUCAAAUAAUGGUGUUAGGAAAACUGGACAGCCAUGUGCAGAAGAAUGAAACUGGACCACCGUCUUAUAUCAUACACAAAAACUCACUCAGAACAGAUUAAAGACUUCAGUGGGAGACCUGAAACUAUAAAAUUCCAGGAAAAAACCUAAGUAGUAAAGCCUUGACAACAGUCUUGACAAUAAUAUUUUAGAUUUGACAGCAAAGGUAAUAAAAGCAAAAAUAAACAAGUGGGACCACACCAAACUAAAAAGAUUCUGCAUAGUAAAGGAAACCAUUAACAAAAUGAAAAAAAAAAUCUACUGAAUUGGAGAAAAUAUUUAUAAAUCACCUAUCUGAUAAGGGAUUAAUAUCCAAAACAUAUAAAGACUCAUAAAGCAACACCUCUAUAUUGUAUAUUUGAAAGUUGCUAAGAGAACAGAUCUUAAAAGUUGUUAUCAUAAGAAAAAAUUGUGGUAAUGGAUGUUAACUAGAUUUAUUAUGAUCAUUUUACAACAUAUACAAAUAUUGAUUAUUAUGUUGUAUACCUGACCUGAUACCAUAUAUCAAUUAUAUCUCAAUGAAUAAAUAAAACAUUUAUAAAGAAAACA